rnacentral:rRNA from 1 species
UUGGGCGUAAGCGAGCGCAGGCGGAAAGAUAAGUCAGAUGUGAAAGCCCUCGGCUUAACCGAGGAAUAGCAUCGGAAACUGUCUUUCUUGAGUGCAGAAGAGGAGAGUGGAACUCCAUGUGUAGCGGUGGAAUGCGUAGAUAUAUGGAAGAACACCAGUGGCGAAGGCGGCUCUCUGGUCUGUAACUGACGCUGAGGCUCGAAAGCAUGGGUAGCGAACAGGAUUAGAUACCCUGGUAGUCCAUGCUGUAAACGAUGAGUGCUAAGUGUUGGGAGGUUUCCGCCUCUCAGUGCUGCAGCUAACGCAUUAAGCACUCCGCCUGGGGAGUACGACCGCAAGGUCAAAACUCAAAGGAAUUGACGGGGGCCCGCACAAGCAGUGGAGCAUGUGGUUUAAUUCGAAGCAACGCGAAGAACCUUACCAGGUCUUGACAUCUAGUGCCAACUUAAGAGAUUAGGCGUUCCCUUCGGGGACACUAAGACAGGUGGUGCAUGGCUGUCGUCAGCUCGUGUCGUGAGAUGUUGGGUUAAGUCCCGCAACGAGCGCAACCCUUAUUAUUAGUUGCCAGCAUUAAGUUGGGCACUCUAAUGAGACUGCCGGUGACAAACCGGAGGAAGGUGGGGAUGACGUCAAGUCAUCAUGCCCCUUAUGACCUGGGCUAC